rnacentral:rRNA from 1 species
AAGCUCGUAGUUGAAUUUCGGGAUCAAUAUAUCGGUCGUGCCUACGGUAUGAACUGGUACAAUUGGUUUCUCCCUUCUGACGAAGCAUGAUGUCAUUAAUUUGGUGUCAUGGGGAAUCAGGACUGUUACUUUGAAAAAAUUAGAGUGUUUAAAGCAGGCACACGCUUGAAUACAUUAGCAUGGAAUAAUGAAAUAGGACGUUCGAACCUAUUUUGUUGGUUUCUAGGUACAACGUAAUGAUUAAUAUAGUUGGG